UACGUAGGGUGCGAGCGUUGUCCGGAAUUAUUGGGCGUAAAGAGCUCGUAGGCGGUUUGUCGCGUCGGCCGUGAAAACUUGGGGCUUAACUCCAAGCUUGCGGUCGAUACGGGCAGACUUGAGUUCGGCAGGGGAGACUGGAAUUCCUGGUGUAGCGGUGAAAUGUGUAGAGAUCGGGAGGAACACCGGUGGCGAAGGCGGGUCUCUGGGCAUCUCCUGACGCUGAGGCGCGAAAGCGUGGGGAGCAAACGGG
rnacentral:rRNA from 1 species